rnacentral:rRNA from 1 species
GAUGAACGCUAGCUACAGGCUUAACACAUGCAAGUCGAGGGGCAGCAGGGAUUUAGCUUGCUAAAUUCGCUGGCGACCGGCGCACGGGUGCGUAACGCGUAUCCAACUUUCCCGUUACUCUCGGAUAGCCUUCCGAAAGGGAGAUUAAUACGAGAUGGUGUUCAGUUUCCGCAUGUUUGCUGAACUAAAGAUUCAUCGGUAACGGAUAGGGAUGCGUGACAUUAGAUAGUUGGCGGGGUAACGGCCCACCAAGUCAACGAUGUCUAGGGGUUCUGAGAGGAAGGUCCCCCACACUGGAACUGAGACACGGUCCAGACUCCUACGGGAGCAGCAGUGAGGAAUAUUGGUCAAUGGGCGAGGCCUGAACCAGCCAAGUAGCGUGAAGGAUGAAGGUUCUAUGGAUUGUAAACUUCUUUUAUACGGGAUAAAACCACCUACGUGUAGGUGCUUGUAUGUACCGUAUGAAUAAGCAUCGGCUAACUCCGUG